UUUUUUCAGGAGAGUGCAUUUUAUGGCAUUAAUGCCUAAAAUGACACCGAAGGCGCAAACCUACCCUACAAUCGCUCAGGUAAAAGGACUGAAAA
rnacentral:ncRNA from 1 species